rnacentral:rRNA from 1 species
GUGGGGGAUAUUGCACAAUGGAGGAAACUCUGAUGCAGCGACGCCGCGUGAGUGAAGAAGUAUUUCGGUAUGUAAAGCUCUAUCAGCAGGGAAGAUAAUGACAGUACCUGACUAAGAAGCCCCGGCUAACUACGUGCCAGCAGCCGCGGUAAUACGUAGGGGGCAAGCGUUAUCCGGAUUUACUGGGUGUAAAGGGAGCGUAGACGGAAUGGCAAGUCUGAAGUGAAAUCCUGCGGCUUAACUGCAGAAUUGCUUUGGAAACUGUCAAUCUGGAGUGUUGGAGAGGUAAGCGGAAUUCCUGGUGUAGCGGUGAAAUGCGUAGAUAUCAGGAAGAACACCGGAGGCGAAGGCGGCUUACUGGACAAUAACUGACGUUGAGGCUCGAAAGCGUGGGAAGCAAACAGGAUUAGAAACCCUAGUAGUCC